rnacentral:rRNA from 1 species
UACGAUGGGUGCAAACGUUAUUCGGAAUCACUGGGCGUAAAGGGUGCGUAGAUGGUAUGUUAAGUUCGUCGUUAAAGCCUCCAGCCUAACUGGAGUAUUGCGAUGAAAACUGGCGCACUAGAGGGUGAGAGAGAGAAGUGGAAUUCCUGGAGUAGCGGUAAAAUGCGUGGAUCUCAGGAGGAACACCAAUGGCGAAGGCAGCUUCUUGGCUCAUUCCUGACAUUGAGGCACGAAAGCGUGGGGAGCAAACAGG